CCCUACCAAGGAAAAAGUGCAAUGAAACAGGGAUAAAAAUAAUGAAAGAAUGGAAGGAAGGAAGAAAAACCUAUGAAGCCUCAGAGGUCUAAGGAAGAAAACAUGGAAGGAAAACAAAAAGGAAAAGAAAAGGGAGAAAAAUAAGAUGAUGAUGACGAGGAGGAGGAAGAAGAAGAAAAAGAGGUCAAGUCACACACACACACACACACACACACACACACACAAUGGUCAGCAAGUGGAGUGCCCCAAAAAUAAGUGUUUGUUGAUGCAGUGAAGUACAGUGUGGGUCAAAAGUUGUGUCGUGAGGAGGAAGAGAGGGUGAUUGCUUCCAUGGAGGUGCAGGAUAUCAACACUCAGUAGGAUGGAAGGACAGGCUGAAGGAUGCAAGGAUGGACUGUAUGGAUAGGAUAGGAUAGGACUGUAUGGAUAGGAUAGGAUAGGACUGUAUGGAUAGGAUAGGAUAGGAUGUAAGGAUGGGAGAACAACAGAACUGAUGGAUGCCAGGAUAGGAUAAGCAUGGGAAAAGUGUUGGGGUAAGUAGGUGGGCAUUGGGUAAGUAGGUGUGCAUGGAAAAGGGCAUUAGGGUAAGUAGGUAGGCAUGGAAAAGGGCAUUAGGGUAAGUAGGUAGGCAUGGAAAAGGGCAUUAGGGUAAGUAGGUAGGCAUGGAAAAGGGCAUUAGGGUAAGUAGGUGUGCAUGGAAAAGGGCAUUAGGGUAAGUAGGUAGGCAUGGAAAAGGGCAUUAGGGUAAGUAGGUGUGCAUGGAAAAGGGCAUUAGGGUAAGUAGGUGUGCAUGGAAAAGGGCAUUAGGGUAAGUAGGUGUGCAUGGAAAAGGGCAUUAGGGUAAGUAGGUGUGCAUGGAAAAGGGCAUUAGGGUAAGUAGGUAGGCAUGGAAAAGGGCAUUAGGGUAAGUAGGUGUGCAUGGAAAAGGGCAUUAGGGUAAGUAGGUGUGCAUGGAAAAGGGCAUUAGGGUAAGUAGGUGUGCAUGGAAAAGGGCAUUAGGGUAAGUAGGUAGGCAUGGAAAAGGGCAUUAGGGUAAGUAGGUAGGCAUGGAAAAGGGCAUUAGGGUAAGUAGGUGUGCAUGGAAAAGGGCAUUAGGGUAAGUAGGUGUGCAUGGAAAAGGGCAUUAGGGUAAGUAGGUAGGCAUGGGAAUGGGUGUUGGGGUAAGUAAGAGGACAUUCAGGUAAGUAGGAGGAUAUUAGGGUAAUUAGGUGGGCAUGGGAAAGGGUGUUGGGAUAAGUAGGAGGGCAUGGAAAGGGUGUUGGGGUGAGUAGGCAGGCAUGCAAAGGGUGUUGGGGUAAGUAGGAGGGCAUUAGGGUAAGUAGGUGGGCAUUAGGGUAAGUAGGUGGGCAUGGGAAAGGGUGUUGAGAUAAGUAGGUGGGGAGGGGAAAGGGAGUCGGGGUAAGUGGGCAUGGGAAAGGGUGUUGGGGUAAGUAGGAGGGCAUUAGGGUAAGUAGGUGGGCAUUAGGGUAAGUAGGAGGGCAUUAGGGUAAGUAGGUGGGCAUUAGGAUAAGUAGGUGGGCAUUGGUAAGUAAACAGAAGAGACAAAUAGUUGCUGGGUCUCAUGAAGUCAGCAAGUAGAGAAAAAGUCGAUCUUGUGAAGUCAGAAAGUUGAAAACACAUCUUAAAAAGCCACCAGGAAGUACUUACACCUAUCACCUCUUCUGUGGCCUUGGAAAUAACCUGUCAAAUAUCUCUGUUGUGGCCUUGGAAAUAACCUGUCAAAUAUCUCUGUUGUGGCCUUGGAAAUAUUGCAACCUGACUAUCAUUUCUUCUGUGGCCUUGGAAAUAACCUGUCAAAUAUCUAUGCUGUAGCCUUGGAAAUACUAUAACUUGACUAUGAUCUCUGUGGCCUUGGAAAUAACCUGUCAAAUAUCUCUGUUGUGGCCUUGGAAAUAACCUGUCAAAUAUCUCGUCUUUGGCCUUGGAAAUAACCUGUCAAAUAUCUCUGUUGUAGCCCUUGGAAAUACUAUAUCCUAACUAUGAUCUCUGUGGCCUUGGAAAUAACCUGUCAAAUAUCUCUGCUGUAGCCCUUGGAAAUAACCUGUCAAAUAUCUCUGUUGUAGCCCUUGGAAAUACUAUAACCUGACUAUGAUCUCUGUGGCCUUGGAAAUAAAAUG